GGUUAAGCGACUAAGCGUACACGGUGGAUGCCCUGGCAGUCAGAGGCGAUGAAGGACGUGCUAAUCUGCGAAAAGCGUCGGUAAGGUGAUAUGAACCGUUAUAACCGGCGAUGUCCGAAUGGGGAAACCCAGUGUGAUUCGUCACACUAUCGUUAACUGAAUACAUAGGUUAACGAGGCGAACCGGGGGAACUGAAACAUCUAAGUACCCCGAGGAAAAGAAAUCAACCGAGAUUCCCCCAGUAGCGGCGAGCGAACGGGGAGCAGCCCAGAGUCUGAAUCAGCUUGUGUGUUAGUGGAACGGUCUGGAAAGUCCGACGGUACAGGGUGAUAGUCCCGUACACCAAAAUGCACAGGCUGUGAACUCGAAGAGUAGGGCGGGACACGUGGUAUCCUGUCUGAAUAUGGGGGGACCAUCCUCCAAGGCUAAAUACUCCUGACUGACCGAUAGUGAACCAGUACCGUGAGGGAAAGGCGAAAAGAACCCCGGCGAGGGGAGUGAAAAAGAACCUGAAACCGUGUACGUACAAGCAGUGGGAGCACCUUCGGGUGUGACUGCGUACCUUUUGUAUAAUGGGUCAGCGACUUAUAUUCUGUAGCAAGGUUAACCGUAUAGGGGAGCCGCAGGGAAACCGAGUCUUAACUGGGCGUUAAGUUGCAGGGUAUAGACCCGAAACCCGGUGAUCUAGCCAUGGGCAGGUUGAAGGUUGGGUAACACUAACUGGAGGACCGAACCGACUAAUGUUGAAAAAUUAGCGGAUGACUUGUGGCUGGGGGUGAAAGGCCAAUCAAACCGGGAGAUAGCUGGUUCUCCCCGAAAGCUAUUUAGGUAGCGCCUCGUGAACUCAUCUUCGGGGGUAGAGCACUGUUUCGGCUAGGGGGUCAUCCCGACUUACCAACCCGAUGCAAACUACGAAUACCGAAGAAUGUUAUCACGGGAGACACACGGCGGGUGCUAACGUCCGUCGUGAAGAGGGAAACAACCCAGACCGCCAGCUAAGGUCCCAAAGUCAUGGUUAAGUGGGAAACGAUGUGGGAAGGCACAGACAGCCAGGAUGUUGGCUUAGAAGCAGCCAUCAUUUAAAGAAAGCGUAAUAGCUCACUGGUCGAGUCGGCCUGCGCGGAAGAUGUAACGGGGCUAAACCAUGCACCGAAGCUGCGGCAGCGACACUAUGUGUUGUUGGGUAGGGGAGCGUUCUGUAAGCCUGCGAAGGUG
rnacentral:rRNA from 8 species